rnacentral:rRNA from 1 species
GACGAACGCUGGCGGCGCGCUUAACACAUGCAAGUCGAACGGUGAACGGGGCUUCGGCCCCGGGAUCAGUGGCGAACGGGUGCGUACCACGUGGGCAACCUGCCCCUCACUCUGGGAUAACCCCGGGAAACCGGAGCUAAUACCGGAUACUCCGACCGAUCCGCAUGGUUCGGUCGGGAAAGGUCCGCCGGUGAGGGAUGGGCCCGCGGCCUAUCAGCUUGUUGGUGGGGUAACGGCCCACCAAGGCUUCGACGGGUAGCUGGUCUGAGAGGACGACCAGCCACACUGGGACUGAGAUACGGCCCAGACUCCUACGGGAGGCAGCAGUGGGGGAUCUUGCGCAAUGGGCGAAAGCCUGACGCAGCGACGCCGCGUGAGGGACGAAGGCCCUCGGGUUGUAAACCUCUUUCGGCAGGGACGAAGCGAACGUGACGGUACCUGCAGAAGAAGCCCCGGCUAACUACGUGCCAGCAGCCGCAGUAAAAC